AGUUCAUCUGUAUAGCGCUAUCUUAUUGUUUCAGAAUCAUUUUUUUUUUUGAGUUAGCAACCAUAUUUUUAUGAGAAUGUUUUUUCUUCUUUGAAUUUUCUUGGCAGCUUUGUUGAGAACCAAUGGACAGCAUAUGUGUGGGUCUGUUACUUGAUUCUUUAUUCCAUUAAUGAAUAUCUCAUGUGUUUGCCAGGCCACAAAAUCAAUUAUUCUAGUUUUAGAUGCCAUUAACUGAACAACUUUCCUCUGCCAACCUUUCUGCCAUGUUGUUCUGCCUCACCUGAAGUUCAGAGCAGAGGAGCUAACCAAUCAUGAACUAAGACCUGUGAAACAAUGAACUAAAAUACACUUUUUCUCCUCUAAUUUGUUCUUGUCAGGCAAUCCUAUCUUCAAGAGGAGGGCUAUUACUGAG